rnacentral:rRNA from 1 species
AAGCGGGAAAAGCUCAAAUUUGAAAUCGGCGUCCUUUGCGGAUCGAGUUGUAAUUUGGAGGGAUAACUUCGGUACAGCUACAUCGUAAGUUCCUUGGAACAGGACGUCAUAGAGGGUGAGAAUCCCGUGUCUUGGUGUUUGGCUGUGCCAUGUGAAGUGUCUCCGACGAGUCGAGUUGUUUGGGAAUGCAGCUCAUAAUGGGUGGUAAUUUCAUCUAAAGCUAAAUAUUGGCGAGAGACCGAUAGCGCACAAGUAGAGUGAUCGAAAGAUGAAAAGCACUUUGAAAAGAGAGUUAAAAAGUACGUGAAAUUGUUGAAAGGGAAGCGCUUGCGACCAGACUCGAUCUUUGGUGAUCAGCCGGGCUUCGGUCCGGUGCCCUUGCCAUUGAUUGGGCCAGCAUCGGUUCCGACGGCGGGAUAAAAGGAGGAGGAAUGUGGCUCCCUUCGGGGAGUGUUAUAGCCUUCUUCACUAUAUGCCGCCAGUAAGGACCGAGGACCG